rnacentral:rRNA from 1 species
UACGGGGGGAGCAAGCGUUGUUCGGAUUUACUGGGCGUAAAGGGCGCGUAGGCGGUCUGUCGCGUCGGUCGUGAAAACUUGGGGCUUAACCCUGAGCUUGCGGUCGAUACGGGCAUGACUGGAGUUCGGUAGGGGAGACUGGAAUUCCUGGUGUAGCGGUGAAAUGCGCAGAUAUCAGGAGGAACACCGGUGGCGAAGGCGGGUCUCUGGGCCGAUACUGACGCUGAGGAGCGAAAGCGUGGGGAGCGAACAGG